rnacentral:rRNA from 1 species
AGUGAACGCUGGCGGUAGGCCUAACACAUGCAAGUCGAACGGCAGCACAGUAAGAGCGUGCUCUUACGGGUGGCGAGUGGCGGACGGGUGAGGAAUACAUCGGAAUCUACUUUUUCGUGGGGGAUAACGUAGGGAAACUUACGCUACUACCUCAUACGACCUACGGGUGAAAGCAGGGGAUCUUCGGACCUUUGGCGAUUGAAUGAGCCGAUGUCGGAUUAGCUAGUUGGCGGGGUAAGGGCCAACCAAGGCGACGAUCCGUAGCUGGUCUGAGAGGUGGUUGACCCACAUGGGAAUGAGGACACGGUCAAGACUCUUACGGGAGGAGGAAGAGGGGAAUAUUGGCCAUGGGGCGAAGUCUUGAUCCAGCCAGCCCGCUGGGUGGAAGAAGUCUUUCGGGUUUUAAAGCCCGUUUGUUGGGAAAGAAAAGCAGCAGGUUAAUACCCCGCUGUUGUGACGGUACCCUAAGAAUAAGCACCGGCUAACUUCGUG